rnacentral:rRNA from 1 species
GCAGUCGAGCGGAACGAGUUAUCUGAACCUUCGGGGAACGAUAACGGCGUCGAGCGGCGGACGGGUGAGUAAUGCCUAGGAAAUUGCCCUGAUGUGGGGGAUAACCAUUGGAAACGAUGGCUAAUACCGCAUAAUGCCUACGGGCCAAAGAGGGGGACCUUCGGGCCUCUCGCGUCAGGAUAUGCCUAGGUGGGAUUAGCUAGUUGGUGAGGUAAGGGCUCACCAAGGCGACGAUCCCUAGCUGGUCUGAGAGGAUGAUCAGCCACACUGGAACUGAGACACGGUCCAGACUCCUACGGGAGGCAGCAGUGGGGAAUAUUGCACAAUGGGCGCAAGCCUGAUGCAGCCAUGCCGCGUGUGUGAAGAAGGCCUUCGGGUUGUAAAGCACUUUCAGUCGUGAGGAAGGUAGUGUAGUUAAUAGCUGCAUUAUUUGACGUUAGCGACAGAAGAAGCACCGGCUAACUCCGUGCCAGCAGCCGCGGUAAUACGGAGGGUGCGAGCGUUAAUCGGAAUUACUGGGCGUAAAGCGCAUGCAGGUGGUUUGUUAAGUCAGAUGUGAAAGCCCGGGGCUCAACCUCGGAAUUGCAUUUGAAACUGGCAGACUAGAGUACUGUAGAGGGGGGUAGAAUUUCAGGUGUAGCGGUGAAAUGCGUAGAGAUCUGAAGGAAUACCGGUGGCGAAGGCGGCCCCCUGGACAGAUACUGACACUCAGAUGCGAAAGCGUGGGGAGCAAACAGGAUUAGAUACCCUGGUAGUCCACGCCGUAAACGAUGUCUACUUGGAGGUUGUGGCCUUGAGCCGUGGCUUUCGGAGCUAACGCGUUAAGUAGACCGCCUGGGGAGUACGGUCGCAAGAUUAAAACUCAAAUGAAUUGACGGGGGCCCGCACAAGCGGUGGAGCAUGUGGUUUAAUUCGAUGCAACGCGAAGAACCUUACCUACUCUUGACAUCCAGAGAACUUUCCAGAGAUGGAUUGGUGCCUUCGGGAACUCUGAGACAGGUGCUGCAUGGCUGUCGUCAGCUCGUGUUGUGAAAUGUUGGGUUAAGUCCCGCAACGAGCGCAACCCUUAUCCUUGUUUGCCAGCGAGUAAUGUCGGGAACUCCAGGGAGACUGCCGGUGAUAAACCGG